CCUACAGGGGGGCAGCAGUGGGGAAUAUUGCACAAUGGGGGAAACCCUGACGCAGCGACGCCGCGUGAGUGAAGAUGUAUUUCGGUAUGUAAAGCUCUAUCAGCAGGGAAGAGAAUGACGGUACCUGAGUAAGAAGCCCCGGCUAACUACGUGCCAGCAGCCGCGGUAAUACGUAGGGGGCAAGCGUUAUCCGGAUUUACUGGGUGUAAAGGGAGCGUAGACGGCGAAGAAAGUAUGAAGUGAAAGCCCG
rnacentral:rRNA from 1 species